UUGAACGCUGGCGGCAUGCUUUACACAUGCCAGUCGCACGGUAACAGGCCGCAAGGUGCUGACGAGUGGCGAACGGGUGAGUAAUGCAUCGGAACGUGCCCAGUCGUGGGGGAUAACUACUCGAAAGAGUAGCUAAUACCGCAUACGAUCUAUGGAUGAAAGCGGGGGACCGUAAGGCCUCGCGCGAUUGGAGCGGCCGAUGUCAGAUUAGGUAGUUGGUGGGGUAAAGGCUCACCAAGCCAACGAUCUGUAGCUGGUCUGAGAGGACAACCAGCCACACUGGGACUGAGACACGGCCCAGACUCCUACGGGAGGCAGCAGUGGGGAAUUUUGGACAAUGGGCGCAAGCCUGAUCCAGCAAUGCCGCGUGCAGGAAGAAGGCCUUCGGGUUGUAAACUGCUUUUGUACGGAACGAAACGGCUCUGGUUAAUACCCGGGGCUAAUGACGGUACCGUAAGAAUAAGCACCGGCUAACUACGUG
rnacentral:rRNA from 1 species